UACGAAGGGAGCUAGCGUUGUUCGGAAUCACUGGGCGUAAAGCGCACGUAGGCGGAUGUGUCAGUCAGGGGUGAAAUCCCGGAGCUCAACUUCGGAACUGCCUUUGAUACUGAUAGUCUUGAGUAUGGGAGAGGUGAGUGGAACUGCGAGUGUAGAGGUGAAAUUCGUAGAUAUUCGCAAGAACACCAGUGGCGAAGGCGGCUCACUGGACCGGUACUGACGCUGAGGCGCGAAAGCGUGGGGAGCAAACGGG
rnacentral:rRNA from 1 species